UACGUAGGGUGCGAGCGUUAAUCGGAAUUACUGGGCGUAAAGCGUGCGCAGGCGGUUUUGUAAGCCAGAUGUGAAAUCCCCGGGCUCAACCUGGGAAUGGCAUUUGGGACUGCAAGGCUGGAGUUUGGCAGAGGAGACUGGAAUUCCCGGUGUAGCAGUGAAAUGCGUAGAUAUCGGGAGGAAUACCGAUGGCGAAGGCAGGUCUCUGGGCUAUAACUGACGCUCAUGCACGAAAGCGUGGGUAGCAAACAGG
rnacentral:rRNA from 1 species